AAUUAAGAGAGGUGCCGCUCCCUCACUCUUUUUUUUCAAAUUUGAUACUUCUCUUCUCCAGAAUCUCCACACCGCGCGGCGCCUCUGCACUGGUUCGUCUUCUCCGCCGCGACGUUGUCCGUCGCCCACCUUCUCCACCGCGGCGUCGUUCUCUCCCCCAUCUGCUGCUGCUGCUGUCGGCAGGCGUUUGCUGCAGCUUCGCCAUUUUCUGUCCCUGUUUCACUCGCUCAUCGUCGUGCCGCCUUGUACCGAACGGUCGUCUGCUUUCGCCGCCGUCUUGUGCUAUCUCCUAUCGCCGCCAUCGAGUAGCAGCCUAGCAGGAUGGCAAAUUUAAUAGAAAAUACACCUCAAAAAAAUGAGAUAAUGGAGGAAGAGAAAGAAGUGGUCGAUAUAAAUGAUGAUAAAGAUGAUAAUAUAAUAGAAGGGGAUGAUGGGGAGAAAGAUAAACAAGAAGGUAUUGAUGGAGAAGAUGAUAAAGAUGGAGACAAGGAGGAGAAUAAUGUGUUUGAUAGGAAGAAUAUUGUUGAUUUUACCAUCUGUUGAAUUUGUGGCUUAUAUUGAGGAUUUAUUAUUGUUUAUUUAUUGUUAUGUGUUUAUUAGGUAAAUAUAUUGAAGAUAUACCUAUAUUAUUGAACAUAUUUUUUUUCCCUUCA